AGUAAUGUCUGGGAAACUGCCUGAUGGAGGGGGGUAACUACUGGAAACGGUAGCUAAUACCGCAUAACGUCGCAAGACCAAAGAGGGGGACCGUUCGGGCCUCAUGCCAUCAGAUGUGCCCAGAUGGGAUUAGCUAGUAGGUGGGGUAACGGCUCACCUAGGCGACGAUCCCUAGCUGGUCUGAGAGGAUGACCAGCCACACUGGAACUGAGACACGGUCCAG
rnacentral:rRNA from 1 species